rnacentral:rRNA from 1 species
UACGUAGGGGGCAAGCGUUGUCCGGAUUUACUGGGCGUAAAGAGCGUGUAGGCGGCCAAGCAGGUCCGUUGUGAAAACUCGAGGCUUAACCUCGAGAUGUCAUCGGAAACCAUUUGGCUAGAGUCCGGAAGAGGAGAGUGGAAUUCCUGGUGUAGCGGUGAAAUGCGCAGAUAUCAGGAAGAACACCAAUGGCGAAAGCAGCUCUCUGGGACGGUACUGACGCUGAGACGCGAAAGCGUGGGGAGCGAACAGG